rnacentral:rRNA from 1 species
UACAGAGGGUGCGAGCGCUAAUCGGAAUUACUGGGCGUAAAGCGUGCGUAGACGGUUAUUUAAGUCGGGUGUGAAAGCCCCGGGCUCAACCUGGGAAUUGCAUUCGAGACUGAAUAGCUAGGGUACGGUAGAGGGAAGUGGAAUUUCCGGUGUAGCGGUGAAAUGCGUAGAUAUCGGAAGGAACAUCAGUGGCGAAAGCGGCUCACUGGACCGGUAUUGACGCUGAGGUGCGAAAGCGUGGGGAGCAAACAGG